AGUGAACGCUGGCGGUAGGCCUAACACAUGCAAGUCGAACGGCAGCACAGUAAGAGCUUGCUCUUACGGGUGGUGAGUGGCGGACGGGUGAGGAAUACAUCGGAAUCUACUUUUUCGUGGGGGAUAACGUAGGGAAACUUACGCUAAUACCGCAUACGACCUACGGGUGAAAGCAGGGGAUCUUCGGACCUUGCGCGAUUGAAUGAGCCGAUGUCGGAUUAGCUAGUUGGCGGGGUAAAGGCCCACCAAGGCGACGAUCCGUAGCUGGUCUGAGAGGAUGAUCAGCCACACUGGAACUGAGACACGGUCCAGACUCCUACGGGAGGCAGCAGUGGGGAAUAUUGGACAAUGGGCGCAAGCCUGAUCCAGCCAUACCGCGUGGGUGAAGAAGGCCUUUGGGUUGUAAAGCCCUUUUGUUGGGAAAGAAAAGCAGCAGGUUAAUACCCCGCUGUUCUGACGGUACCCAAAGAAUAAGCACCGGCUAACUUCGUG
rnacentral:rRNA from 1 species